UACGGGGGAUGCAAGCGUUAUCCGGAAUUACUGGGCGUAAAGAGUCUGUAGGUUGCUUAAAAAGUCUGCUGUUAAAUCUCAGGGCUCAACCCUGAAGCAGCAGUGGAAACUAGUAAGCUAGAGUAUGGUAGGGGUAGAGAGAAUUCCCAGUGUAGCGGUGAAAUGCGUAGAUAUUGGGAAGAAUACCAGUGGCGAAAGCGCUCUACUGGGCCAUUACUGACACUCAGAGACGAAAGCUAAGGGAGCAAAUGGG
rnacentral:rRNA from 1 species